GAUGUUUCAUUGUGUUUGAAAUUUUCACGCUUCAAACAAGUCGCUCUGUUUCUGCUGCUACUUUUUCAUUUAUAAUCAGUUAAUUUGCCAAUAAACGCAGAAAAUUUGGUGAAAAUGUGAAAAAAGCUUGCUGCUCUUCCCGCUGGCCCUGCGGAAGGCUAAUUUGGCUGAGAUUUUACAAGUUAGCCAUCUCCUAGUGGACUGAAUCAACUGGAACCGGCCCUCAAUGUUCUCCGCCGUGAAAUCAUUUUGUUUCUUCGAAACAGGUUCAUCAAUCAACUCGGGAGUGCGAGAGCUCGAGCCUCGUUGCCGAGCCAUGGAUGGCGCCGCGAAAGUUCUCAAUUCUUGAAUGUUCUGCCCUGAAGGAUGCCCAACACAGGAAAAGAAAAUAAUUUGGAAAUAAAUAAUGCUGUGUGGAAACGCG
rnacentral:lncRNA from 1 species